GGCCCCUACUUAUGAAAAAUUCUGGAUCCGCCAGUGAAGACCUUUUUGAAUUCUUGUCUGACAGUGUUAAAAAAAUCUAUAGGUAUAAUUGAUUUUUUACAUAUUUCUGUAUUUGGGACUUACUGGUCAUUUUGUUCUAAAGGUAGUGAAGCAGCAACUGUUUUUCGGUCAUUUUAUUUUCGUCUUUGCAAAGUUCGAUUUUUUUCUAAUAGAGACAUUGGAUUUUUUUAAUGGACUCGUACAUUUACCAACCUUAUUAAAACCAUUAAUAAUGAUAUCCAUUUUAUGUGCGACAAGGUGGUAGCAUUGAUAUAUUUUGUGAAAAUUGCAGCAUUGGAAAUAAAGCUAUUAUAUUUCUUUCUUUUUUUUGGGAUACAUUUCUUCUUCUUUUGUAUAUUAAAUGAAGCUGUUGUUGGUUUUUUUGUGUUUUUUUUGGGGGGGGGAUUGGUUUACACAUGUUAUUAUUGGUCCUUUUAUAGCUUACUUUUCAGAAUUAAACCUAAAAUUGCUUACUUUACAAGAUUGUGUCUUGGGUGGAAAGAUGUCUCAUUUGGCACUCUGAUUGAACAUAUUACUUAAUGAGUAUUGAUCAAAUAUUUCAGUCUUAUCUAUGAAUGUAAGAGGUAUAAGAGGUAAACAUGCAUCUAUUGUUUGUUUUCAAGAGACUCACAGUAAUGAGGAUAUCGAGAAACUUUGGCAAAUUGAAUGUCACUGCAACAAUAAAAGUGCUGGUGUUAGUGUGAUGAUUAAAAGGGUCUACAUUUUAAGAUUCGUGAUUCUAAGAUAGACCAGAAAGGUCGUUUUAUUGUUUUAAACUUAUCAUUAUAUGAACAAAAGCUAAUCUUUGUAACUGUUUAUGGAUUUAAUACUGAUGAACCAUCAUUGUUUAGUGAUAUUUUACACAACAUCUCUUGCUUUACUAAUACUAGCAUCUUAAUGUGUGGUGACUGGAAUGUUGUACAAGAUUUUCAUAUGGACACUUAUAAUAUUCUGCACAAUAGAAAUUUGAACUCUCCUAAUAAGAUUGAAGAAAUUUCAAAAACUUUAGAUCCAUGGAGAACCUGCCAUCCAGAUGACAAAAAAUUUACUUGGCGUCAAACCUCUCCUAUCAAGC
rnacentral:lncRNA from 1 species